rnacentral:rRNA from 1 species
GGGUUGUUGCUGGCUCUCUCAGGGAGCAUGUGCACGCCUUGUCAUCUUUAUAUCUCCACCUGUGGAUCUUUUGUAGACCCUUUCAGGGUCUAUGUGGCUUCGUUUACCCCAUUGUAUGUCAAUAGAAUGUUGUGCCUAUUAUAAUGUAUACAACUUUCAGCAACGGAUCUCUUGGCUCUCGCAUCGAUGAAGAACGCAGCGAAAUGCGAUAAGUAAUGUGAAUUGCAGAAUUCAGUGAAUCAUCGAAUCUUUGAACGCACCUUGCGCUCCUUGGUAUUCCGAGGAGCAUGCCUGUUUGAGUGUCAUUAAUACAUAUAUCAACCUUCCCUUUUGGUGAAUGGGUUGGAUGUGGGGGNNUGCUGGGCUCUAAAGAGUUCANCUCCCCUGAAAUGGAUUAGCGGAACAACCUGGUUCAUUGGUGUGAUAAAUAUCNAUGCCGNUGAAUGUGAGGGGCAGUNCAGCUUUCUAACAGUCCUUGGACAAAUCAUCAUUAAUGUGACCUCAAAUCAGGUAGGACUACCCGCUGAACUUAAGCUAUCAAUAAGCGGANGAAAAGAAACUAACAAGGAUUCCCCUAGUAACUGCGAGUGAAGCGGGAAAAGCUCAAAUUUAAAAUCUGGCGGUCUUCUGGGCUGUCCGAGUUGUAAUCUAGAGAAGUGUUAUCCGCGCUGGACCGUGUACAAGGUCUCCUGA